rnacentral:siRNA from 1 species
UCGAGGAGAUUUGAUGAGCCUG